rnacentral:tRNA from 1 species
GCGGGUAUCGUAUAGUGGUAAUACCCCAGUUUUCCAAACUGGCGCCGGGGGUCCGAUUCCCCCUACCCGCUCCA